UACGUAGGUGGCGAGCGUUGUCCGGAUUUACUGGGCGUAAAGGGAGCGUAGGCGGAUUUUUAAGUGAGAUGUGAAAUACUCGGGCUCAACUUGAGUGCUGCAUUUCAAACUGGAAGUCUAGAGUGCAGGAGAGGAGAAUGGAAUUCCUAGUGUAGCGGCGAAAUGCGUAGGGAUUAGGAAGAACACCAGUGGCGAAGGCGAUUCUCUGGACUGUAACUGACGCUGAGGCUCGAAAGCGUGGGGAGCAAACAGG
rnacentral:rRNA from 1 species